rnacentral:rRNA from 1 species
GACGAACGCUGGCGGCGUGCUUAACACAUGCAAGUCGAACGGAAAGGCCCUGCUUUUGUGGGGUGCUCGAGUGGCGAACGGGUGAGUAACACGUGAGUAACCUGCCCUUGACUUUGGGAUAACUUCAGGAAACUGGGGCUAAUACCGGAUAGGAGCUCCUGCUGCAUGGUGGGGGUUGGAAAGUUUCGGCGGUUGGGGAUGGACUCGCGGCUUAUCAGCUUGUUGGUGGGGUAGUGGCUUACCAAGGCUUUGACGGGUAGCCGGCCUGAGAGGGUGACCGGCCACAGUGGGACGGCGAAGCGGACCAGACGGCGAGGAGAGGGAGAAGGGGGAAAUAGGGACAAGCGGGCGGGAGCCUGAGGCAGCACGGCAGGGUGCGGGAUGGCGGCGCGCGGGUUGUAACCCGCUGUAGCGAGUGAAGGAGGGUGAGUGAAGGAAAGGGGCAAAGAAACACCGGCAAACUACGCGACAGAAGAAGCCGUAAUAAGGGGAAGAGCAAACGACUGAAC